UGACUUGUGACAAUGAAAACAAUUUUAUAUAAGCUUUUUUUUUUAAUUAAUGGACAGUCAAGUCAGUAUACCAAGAAAAGAAUAAAAUUAGUUUUUAAACUUAAAAUUGUACAUUUUUUUUUUUUUUGCUAACUUGUAAAUAUCAUAAAUAUGAAAGGUUAAGUUGUACAUGAGCACUAACUAUAAGAAAUGUAAUCCUGGCAAAAAGAAUAAAAACAAGAUUACAAAUAGGAGACUUAUAAAGUCACAAAAGAGAAGAUUAAGGCUUUGGUUUAACAAACAAAAACGAAGUUAGUG
rnacentral:lncRNA from 1 species